CAUCCUUCCCCAUUCUUCAUUCAAAAAUUAUUUUUAUCUAGCUGUAUACAGCAGAGAUAGCCAGUAUGCAUUUGCUAAAAAUGAUUAUUCUUGUGGCUGCUGCACAUGAAGCAGCUACCUUAAGUGUAACAAUGAAUUUUGAGAUACUCGACGUUAAUCAGACAGUAAACAGCAAUGCGGAGCAGUUUAAUAUAGACUCUCCGCAGAUUGUGGAACUGAUAUGUGAAAAUGCCGGUACAAAAUCCAUCCCUUCUUGGUCUAUCAAUAAUGUUACUUACUACUGGCAAGAUGUACCACCAGGCCAUACAUUCAAUGUGAAGAACAUGACGCUUGAAAUAAGUCGAUUGUGUGCAAAGCAUAGUGAAUAUCAAUGUUUUUUUUCAUACACUUUGCAAAGCAGGUCCGUAAUUCUACUACAAAAUGGUAGUGUGCCGUUAGCCUGCAAUGAUGAGACUACGCAAAAUAAAGCAGUUUCCAAUAACACAACGCCUUUCAUUAUAAUAUUUUUUGCAUUAAUUUUGCAUUCACUGUAUUUUUGAAGGUUUAAACCAGCAGAAAAAAAUUAUGAUUAUAAUUAUAGAUCCACAACUAGCCCUGCACUAUCAUUAUUCUUAAAUAAUAGGCAGCAAU